rnacentral:rRNA from 1 species
ACCUACGGGAGGCAGCAGUGGGGAAUAUUGCACAAUGGGGGAAACCCUGAUGCAGCGACGCCGCGUGAGUGAAGAAGUAUUUCGGUAUGUAAAGCUCUGUCAGCAGGGAAGAAAAUGACGGUACCUGACCAAGAAGCCCCGGCUAACUACGUGCCAGCAGCCGCGGUAAUACGUAGGGGGCAAGCGUUAUCCGGAUUUACUGGGUGUAAAGGGAGCGUAGACGGUUAUGUAAGUCUGGAGUGAAAGCCCGAGGCCCAACCCCGGGACUGCUUUGGAAACUGUGUAACUAGAG